CCCAACUAUCCCUAUUAAUCUUUACGUGGUCCUAAAACCAACAAAAUAGAACCAUCGUCCUAUUUUAUUAUUCCAUGCUAAUAUAUUCAAGCAAAAAUGCCCGCUUUAAACACUCUAAUUUUUUCAAAGUAAAAGUCCUGGUUCAUCGAAACACCCGAGAGCAUCCCAAUUCACCAGAAGGUGAGAAUUGACCAUACACCGAUUCAUGUCCCUAAAGCCAUGAUCGAUAUAUCCCAAUCCCGAAAUUCAACUACGAGCUUUUUAACCGCAACAACACUAAUAUACGCUAUUGGAGCUGGAAUUACCGCGGCCGCUAAUACCAGACUUGCCCUCCAA
rnacentral:misc_RNA from 1 species